rnacentral:rRNA from 1 species
UGGGGGAUAUUGCACAAUGGGGGGAACCCUGAUGCAGCGACGCCGCGUGGGUGAAGAAGCGCCUCGGCGCGUAAAGCCCUGUCAGCAGGGAAGAAAAUGACGGUACCUGAAGAAGAAGCCCCGGCUAACUACGUCGCC